AACAUUUUACGAUACCACUUUGGAGGAUUUUUAUUUAGUCACCCAGUAGCUUUUAUCAUUUGAAAAACGCGCCGUUUGCUGUUUUUUCUUUAUCGUCCAAUAAACUUGAAUUGUAUUGCAAAUUUCUGCCUACAGGGGAACUCGUCUUUUCCUUUAUCUGUCGGAAUGGUACCUAUUCGCACUGGUGAUCCAUUUGCAGUAUAGACUGUUAAAUGUGGAAGAAAUUUUAUUACGUAUUUCUUCAUUUGUUUGGAUAAGAGUGCAAUAAAUGAUCGAACGAUAGAAAGAGAAAUCGUAUUUGUAAAUUCAAAUAAAUAUCAUGAAUGAGACGACGAAGAGUGAAGAACAUAAGUGAGGUUAUAUUUUACACCGUUGUAACUUUGUAAAAAAAAAAAAAAAAUACAGUAAUCAGCUUGAAUUAAUUUUAAAUCUCUGUUUUCAGAAAUUGGGUCGAAUUAUAUCAGUUUCAAUAUUGGGAGAAAUUGAAGAGAGAUACAAUAAUAUUAAUUCUGAUAAAAUAAAUGAUAUUAUUUUAAAUUUUAAAAAAUUAGCAACAAAAGAACUAUAUAAGCCUCGAAAUAUUCUUUUAUAUCACGAAUAAUAUCGCGAAAUCGUAAAAUUAUAAUUGUUAAUGUAUUAAAAAAAUUGACAAUUAGAAAUAAAGAACUUGAUAAGUAAAUUCAGGUUACAGUUCUAACAAUAAUAUUUAUUGAUCUAAAGGAUAAAGUAAUUUGUCAUUUAUAUGAAAUGGGAAAUUUUUUUUCAUUUUAAUUAGAUUCUGAAAAAAUAAAGAAUUAAAAGAAUUGAGAAUACACAACAACUUUGAAUAAUUGAUAAAAAAUUUCAAGUAUGUUAAAACUAUAUUUUUAAUUAAUAGAUUAAUUAGUAAAAGUGACGAAUAUUGACUUUUUGGAUGAACAUCGAAAUAUUUUAUCGUCGAAAAAAAAAAUGUGACGAAUAUUAGAUUUGAAAAAUAUAAAUAUUUCAUUGUAAUUCUCAUUUCAAGAAUUCAUAUAUUUACGAACUUUUUUGCAGAACGUUAUAUAAGGCAACAAUUUUGCUAAAUAAUUUUUACACAAAUUUUCGAAUUGUUACAAACAUUAGUCCAACUUAUUUUUAAUCAACAUAUCAUACAUUCGUGCUCUUGUGAUAAUUUAUUGUCAAAAGAAGUUUUCCAAUGAUGUCAAAGAGAAACAACAUUACAGAGCCAAAAAACGAGCAAAAGAGAUAAAGAAAAAUAAUUGGAGAAUAAAUAUGAAAUUAUAUAUCUCUUGUUACAAUCAUCAAAUGAAUUUCUACAAUCUUUUCUUUUUUUAUCUAAAGUAAAUUACUUCUUUUCUUUAUCAAGUACAUCUUUUUCUACGUUUCUUCUUAUGAAAUCAUCCUCGAUUGUAUUUACUAUUCUACGAUUUCUACUGCAAAUUAGAAACUAAUCAAUUCAUAAAAUCGAGAACAAUUUACACAAUUUACAGAAUUAAAUUUUCGUAUCAAUUCAAGGAUGAACAAUUCUCUUUUCGUCAAAUUUUCAUUCUUAUUUGUUAAAAUUAAUUUUUGACAGCUCGCCUCAUCUCUCGUCUCCCGGAUAAAUUAACAAACAUAAGUUUUUCUUUUUCUUUUAAUGGCCGACGUGAAGGAUGAAAGGCUUUCCGCGUAACGUCGACCUUCCUUCGUCAUCUCGAGCACACCCUUCGCGAUAGUUUCACCCUCUUUUCGUACCGCCCCUUCUAUUCCCAGUGUGAGCGUUUCAUCAAGGGUUAUAUCGCAGAGGGUGUAACCAUGGAUACGCGAGCAGCCAUGUUGGUCCAGAGGCGUGAGAGGAUGGAAAAUUCGAUAAUUUCCACCCCGAAAUGGCGAAGUUUCCUCGGAGGAAGAAUGUUUAAAUAAUUUCUAAAACACAUAAUUCGUGAUUUGAAAGAAAACAGAAAAAUUGGAAAACGUAAAGAUGCAUAUCGUUCGAUCCGUGUCAAAAAAUGGAGAAACGAGAGAUUAUUUAUUUAAAUAUUAAACACAACUUAUAUUUGUUAUUAUCAGAAAAUAAUCUUUCACUUAUUUCCCUCCAUUUGUAUUUAUGAUAACUCGAUCUCGACACUUUAAUCACACACGAUAUCCGCUAUAAAAAUACGAGUAUUUACCAGGAUAAGCGUGGAUAAAUGUUAACACAACACGCGUCCAACUGAAUCACGGAAUCGAAGCAAACUGGUAGCGGAAAGAAUCGAGGACGAAAACGAAGCCUGGAGAGAGAAAGAGAGAGAGAGAGAGAAAAAAGGUUAAAAAAGGCAAUAAAACGAAGGCGAAACCGUGGCUAAAAGUUUUUAAGAUAUAACGCAGAGGAGUAGGUAGAGGAGGUAGAGUAUCAAGACGUGGAAUUCCUUCGAAACGAAAGGAUUUCAGAUGAAUGGGCCAAGAGUUAUGCCUUUAUUGCACCCAUGUAUGUAUUAUUUUCAAAAAAUUGUCGAAGAAAAGAUGCAGCUGUCGAGAGGAAAACCAGGGAGAAGAAAAAAAAAAUAUCGAAAACUUCAAAAUUUCCAAAAAUAUUCGAAUAUUCGAAAAAUAUAUAUAAUUCAUCUCAAGAUGAAAUAAGAUAAUUACAUUCAUAAAUUAAAUUCACGUGAAUACUCAUUUUCUCCGAUUUAACUUUCCCAAAUUAUUUAUACGUGCAGUCAGAUUAAAAUAUAAAACCAUACUAUUUUUUCUAAAUCGUACUUUCUUGCACAAUUACCAUCCAUUUUCGAUUCGACGAGUCGUCACCAUUCUCCAAAGGAAAUUAAAAUGAAAAUGAGGGAGGGGGGAGGAUGAGAGCAAGGUUGGAACGUAGAGUAGUUUAUAACGGUCUCCUUUAACACCGUUAAUAUCUUCCGUUCCCUUGGAAACGAUCGCAGAGCUCUCUUCUUCUCGAGCAGUAACGUCCGCCAAUAUGUCUCCCCUAAAAGCGUCAGGGUGGCGGCGGUUGCACGCUACCGAUGAGGUAACAGCUGCUGAAUCGUCAGUUGGUUCAACCAAUCCGUCCGGAGGGCCGAUAAAAUUAACGUUCAUUGUUCUUCACGAAACACCAAUCGUCAUACGUGCAAUCGUAAAAUUUCUCCUUUUCAGCAAUCGAAAUCCACGGCUGUUCAAAUAAUCUGACGAGCUAUCUAAAAAUAAUUAUUUGUUUAUUAAUAAAGAUUAUUAAUGAUCGAAAUAAAGUAAUUUUAAUUGCUGAAGAAUAUGGACGAAAUCGAGAACAAGCGUGUUCUUAUUAUCUUCGUACGUUGGAGUUUCUGGAUAAAAUUGAGGUAAAAAAGAACGUUUUUUGACUUUGUUUCGUAAGAUGAGAUCAUUGCGCAGCGACGUAGUGGGUAUAAUAAUUUUUCUAUUAAGAUAAUAUUUCUGGGGGAAAAAAGAAAAAAAGGGAAAAAGAAAGGAAAGAUAUUUUAAUAAAGAAAGAAAUAAAUGAAAUCCUAAGUGUCAAAAUAAUUGUAAAUUUUCAUCUCCUUUAUGAAAUUGUAAUAUGUGUAAUAAAAAAUAAAAUUCUUUUAAAAAUUAA